CCCAGGUCCUGGACGCGCAGGGCGCGGCGGCCUCUCUGUGCCAAGUCCAGGGCSGACGUGGGGACAGCGACAGAGAGAAGACCCUCCCUGAAACUCUGGAGAAGUGACCUGACACGUUCAGUUCCAAGCGGGAAACCAGGGACGCUCUGGCAGGCGGGGUCACUCGAGCAGGGGGUCCCGAGGUUUGGGGGAGCCCCACCUUGCAGGACCCGGGCCAGGGCGGGGGCUGUGGAACUGACCGGGGUGCCAGCCUUGGGGAGCGCGGCGGGACCCAGCCGUCCUUCGCUCUCUCAACUUCCUUUGGCUCAGCAGGACCUGGUCGCUCCUACCCGYCCCCCUCCAGGCACGUGACCCCCGUUAGGAAGGUGUUUAGAGCACUGUCCCAGCCUCUGCCGGAAUCGCGGAGGACACUGCGCCUCCCGGGACGGCUCCGGCGCCUGCAGCCCAGGGACUGGGMGGGAAGCGACGCUGAGGCGCGUCCUGGUUCUCGGCCCUUCUCCCUCGGAGGUGGCAGGAGACAGGAUGGCAAGUUAGAAGUGGUUUCCGCUGAUGAUAGGAAGCUUCCUGGAGACAAGCUGCUGCCGCAGUCCAGGCGGUGUCCCUGCUGGAAGGAACCGAAUGAGCUCACCAAGGUCAGAGAAGAGGAUUACCCAGCCAUAAGUGUCGAAGCUGAAAGGAAAGUUGAGCUGUCCCAGCCCAUGCCCUGGGAGGUGACAGGAAGCCAAGAAGAGGACAGGCAAACUCAAGUCCCCCAUGGAGACUUGCCUGGGUGGCCUUGA
rnacentral:lncRNA from 1 species